ACGAAGGUGGCAAGCGUUGUUCGGAUUUACUGGGCGUAAAGGGCGCGUAGGCGGCGUGGUAAGUCACUUGUGAAAUCUCUGAGCUUAACUCAGAACGGCCAAGUGAUACUGCUGUGCUUGAGUGUGGAAGGGGCAAUCGGAAUUCUUGGUGUAGCGGUGAAAUGCGUAGAUAUCAAGAGGAACACCUGAGGUGAAGACGGGUUGCUGGGCCAACACUGACGCUGAUGCGCGAAAGCCAGGGGAGCAAACGGGA
rnacentral:rRNA from 1 species